ACUUUGUUUAAGACCAGAGGAGAACCAGAACUCAUUUCUUCCAGCUGCUCCGAGCGGGGCUGCGGAGCGUGUGUCCUGGCCUCUCCAUGGCUUCACUCUGCUGGCAGGAUAAAGUCCAGGUCAAAUUCUGGGCCUUCAGAAUCUAAACUUUAACAGUAUCUCUGAGACUGUUCCCUCUGCCUGCCACCCAGGAAUCCAGCCAAAUGGGACUCUGUUGUCCCCCAGCUCCACUUAGACAUCAGCUCCCCCGGUAACCACCCUGGUGUCCUUGCAUUGUCCUUGAAGACAGACUGUCCUCACUCUAGAACCUGCAACACUGCUCGUGGAUAACCUGCUUGCUCCUUGGUCCCUUCCACCGGCCUAUGAGUUCCCCAAGGACGGAAGCCACAGUGGGUCCUGGUGCUUUGCACAGAUC